GAAGCGCGAAAUGUAGUGUGAAUCGCAGAACAUUGUGAAUCAUCGAAUCUUUGAACGCACAUUGCGCCUCCCGUCACUGGGAGGCAUGCCUGUCUGAGCGUCAUUUAAACCAUGAACCGGUCAUCCGGUCCGUAUUGGGCCUCGCCGUCUGGCGUCGCCUCAAAGUCAUCGGUCUAAACAGCGGACGAGAUCCUUCAGGACUGACCGUGGUUCGACCUUAAACCUCUGAAUUGACCUCAGAUCAGGUAGGGCUACCGCCUGAACUUAA
rnacentral:misc_RNA from 1 species